GUUCUGAUGUGUGGUCGUUUGGCGUGAUAACGUGGGAGAUUUUGACUUUUGGCGAAAUCCUUACGCCAAAAUUUCAGUUCACAAGCUGUACAACCAUUUAGAAACUAAUAACAGGCUCGAAAAGCCAGAUGACUGUAGCAAUGAAAUGUACGAUUUGAUGAAAAGCUGUUGGGCCUUCAAACCCGAAGAUCGGCCGACAUUCGAAGAAAUCGUCGGCACUGUGAAAUCCAUGCUGAACCUUCCGUGAGACCCUUGAACCC